rnacentral:rRNA from 1 species
GAUGAACGCUGGCGGCGUGCCUAAUACAUGCAAGUCGAGCGAACAGAUGAGGAGCUUGCUCCUCUGACGUUAGCGGCGGACGGGUGAGUAACACGUGGAUAACCUACCUAUAAGACUGGGAUAACUUCGGGAAACCGGAGCUAAUACCGGAUAAUAUAUUGAACCGCAUGGUUCAAUAGUGAAAGACGGUUUUGCUGUCACUUAUAGAUGGAUCCGCGCCGCAUUAGCUAGUUGGUAAGGUAACGGCUUACCAAGGCAACGAUGCGUAGCCGACCUGAGAGGGUGAUCGGCCACACUGGAACUGAGACACGGUCCAGACUCCUACGGGAGGCAGCAGUAGGGAAUCUGCCGCAAAGGGCGAAAGCCUGACGGAGCAACGCCGCGUGAGUGAUGAAGGUCUUCGGAUCGUAAAACUCUGUUAUUAGGGAAGAACAAAUGUGUAAGUAACUAUGCACGUCUUGACGGUACCUAAUCAGAAAGCCACGGCUAACUACGUG